rnacentral:rRNA from 1 species
GACGAACGCUGGCGGCGUGCUUAACACAUGCAAGUCGAACGGAAAGGCCCUGCUUGCAGGGUGCUCGAGUGGCGAACGGGUGAGUAACACGUGGGUGAUCUGCCCCUUACUUUGGGAUAAGCCUGGGAAACUGGGUCUAAUACUGGAUAGGACCAUGCUGUAGGUGGUGUGGUGGAAAGAUUAGUUUCGGUAAGGGAUGAGCUCGCGGCCUAUCAGCUUGUUGGUGGGGUAAUGGCCUACCAAGGCGUCGACGGGUAGCCGGCCUGAGAGGGUGGACGGCCACAUUGGGACUGAGAUACGGCCCAGACGCCUACGGGAGGCAGCAGUGGGGAAUAUUGCACAAUGGGCGCAAGCCUGAUGCAGCGACGCCGCGUGGGGGAUGACGGCCUUCGGGUUGUAAACUCCUUUCGGCCAUGACGAAGCCCUUGUGGUGACGGUAGUGGUAGAAGAAGCACCGGCUAACUACGUG